CUACGGGAGGCUCCAGUAGGGAAUCUUAGACAAUGGGGGAAACCCUGAUCUAGCCAUGCCGCGUGAGUGAUGAAGGCCUUAGGGUUGUAAAGCUCUUUCGCUGGGGAAGAUAAUGACGGUACCCAGUAAAGAAACCCCGGCUAACUCCGUGCCAGCGGCCGCGGUAAUACGGAGGGGGUUAGCGUUGUUCGGAAUUACUGGGCGUAAAGCGCGCGUAGGCGGGCUAUUAAGUCAGGGGUGAAAUCCCGGGGCUCAACCCCGGAGCUGCCUUUGAUACUGGUAGUCUUGAGUUCGAGAGAGGUGAGUGGAAUUCCGAGUGUAGAGGUGAAAUUCGUAGAUAUUCGGAGGAACAUCAGUGGCGAAGGCGACUCACUGGCUCGAUACUGACGCUGAGGUGCGAAAGUGUGGGGAGCAAACAGGAUUAGAUACCCGAGUAGUC
rnacentral:rRNA from 1 species